GUCAUUUUGGGGAAUUGGAUUGUGUGCUGUCUGACGAGUAGCGGCUGAUUUUUAUCAUCUACGGUAGAAGGUCUGCCACUCUGCCUGUUAUAUCGACAAUUAUUUUUUUUAACAAUUUUGAAUAUAAAAAUUUGAAUGAAAAGGACAUAAACCUUGAAGAAUUGUCCCAGCUCAUUGCUGCCAGCAGCUCUGAUGUACAGCUCCUUCAAAAAGAAGUCAUGGCUUUUUUACACCACCAGCUGGCUGGGUUGGAGAAAGUUAACUUGGAAGCAUCUGCCUUAACAACAACAAUAACCACAUGCAAUUUCCAGUCAAAAUUUGAAGAAUUGACCAAGUACACACAUAUCGCCAAGAACCUGGUGUCCGACAUGCAGCACAUAUCAUACAGGACCAACAAGUUGCAAGCCAGAGCCCAACGAUUAGUGCAAGAGUCAGCCAGACGAUCUGAAGCUCAGUCAAGGGAACGGGCAAGAAUGGCUGAGAGGGAACGGCAAUUGCUAGCACGCCCCACUUGGCAGUCUUGACCACGCCUUUUUGACAGUCUUGACUAUGCCUUUUUGACAGUCUUGACUAUGCCUUUUUGACAGUCUUGACUACGCCUUCUUUGCAAUCUUGACUAUGUCCUCUGGGCAGUCUUGACUACGCCUUCUUGGCAGUCUUGACUAUGCCUUGUUUGCAAUCUUGACUACGUCCUCUUGGCAGUCUUGACUAUGCCUUCUUGUCAGUCUUGACUAUGCCUUCUUGGCAGUCUUGACUAUGCCUUCUUGGCAGUCUUGACUACGUCCUCCUGCAAGUCCUUACUCCAGACUUUUUUUCGGUUUUGAAAGCUCUGACGUUAUCCUCUUGCUUCAUCCUUGAAGUUGUUACUAACUGUUGGGCAUUAACGAGUAACUAUAAUUAUGAACUAAACUGUUCCCCGUAGCUGCUAUUAAUCUUAUGCUUGAUAACUGUAAUUAAGUAAAGGUGCAUAUUAUCAAGCAAAAUCCAUGCGAUAAAGGGUAUCUCUCCUUAUACGGUAUUUUUAGACCAUUGAGACGCAAAACAGUUCCCAAACCUUAUGUUGCUUCAGUCAUCUCGCAACUAAAUGAUCGGUUAACAUUUUUAUAAAAAAAUAACGAUUUAUAUGGAGCUACAAAACUGUAUUUUUGUCCAGUUGUUCAUUUACAUAGUUUAAUUGCAAUAGUGUAGAUUAAAUAAAUAUUGUUAAUCUUUGUCUUUCACUUGUUUGCAUCGUUGCGAUGAAUAAUUUAGGCAGUUCCUUUGUUGUAGUUAUACCUACUUAGUUGAAUCAAGUUGAAUGAAUCUCUGGCGCUGGAUAACUUCUUUCUACUGAUUUUAUUGAAUAUGAAUUUUAUUAUUUCUGGUGUUACGUCGACUGAGUCAGCGUUUGUAUGCUGAACAUUUUUCAAUGCCAGUUUUCCAUAUUUCGUGAGGGUUUGAUGCUCACGAACCACCAUGAUGGAUUUCAUGAAACGCGCCUUAUACUUAAUUGACCUCGUGACACAUGCCUUAUAAAUGUUCAUACGCACGUUUAUAUAGUUUGUCACUACCUUCAGCGACAUAGUAGUCUUACCUUCUAAUAGAGAUGAUUAAUAUACAAACGAUAUUGUUACGAUCUCUAUUGUCAUAUAUCGUUCGCUUUGAGAUCGUUAUCCUCAGUUGAACCCAAAUGAAUGCAUUUCUGGUAUGCAUUUUUUUUGUACUUGUAAGCGGUAAAUUAGACUCUGUGGUGAUUCAACUGUUGCUAGCUGUAGCUUGCCACUGCGAUCCUACCUGUCAAAAAGUUGUGACAAUAAAACUAAACCAUACUAAAAGUCUAGUUGAUGGUAGUCUCUCUGUAGGAUUGCUUUUUGAAAAGCUAUUGUGUGGCCGUCUUCUGUCGUAUUGUUUGUAAUUAAAGGAGUCUAAUUUCAUUAUUGGUUGAAGUUGAAAAUAAAUUCUAUUUCAUUUU